GAUCCUGGCUCAGGACGAACGCUGGCAGCGUGCCUAAUACAUGCAAGUCGAGCGGAUCAAUUAAGAGCUUGCUCUUAAUUGAUCAGCGGCGGACGGGUGAGUAACACGUGGGCAACCUGCCUUACAGACUGGGAUAACUCCGGGAAACCGGGGCUAAUACUGGAUGAUCAAUGGAAUUGCAUAAUUCUAUUGUAAAAGUUGGGAUUUAUCCUAACACUGUGAGAUGGGCCCGCGGCGCAUUAGCUAGUUGGUGAGGUAACGGCUCACCAAGGCAACGAUGCGUAGCCGACCUGAGAGGGUGAUCGGCCACACUGGAACUGAGACACGGUCCAGACUCCUACGGGAGGCAGCAGUAGGGAAUCAUCCGCAAUGGGCGAAAGCCUGACGGUGCAACGCCGCGUGAACGAUGAAGGUCUUCGGAUUGUAAAGUUCUGUUGUUAGGGAAGAACAAGUGCCAUUCGAAUAGGUCGGCACCUUGACGGUACCUAACCAGAAAGCCCCGGCUAACUACGUGCCAGCAGCCGCGGUAAUACGUAGGGGGCAAGCGUUGUCCGGAAUUAUUGGGCGUAAGGCGCGCGCAGGCGGUCUCUUAAGUCUGAUGUGAAAGCCCACGGCUCAACCGUGGAGGGUCAUUGGAAACUGGGGGACUUGAGUGUAGGAGAAGAAAAGUGGAAUUCCACGUGUGGCGGUGAGAUGCGUA
rnacentral:rRNA from 1 species